rnacentral:misc_RNA from 1 species
GUCUUUUUGAACUUUAGCUACAAUGAGUCCAUGUGCGUGCAUUGAUUUCUACUAGUGGAGAAGCAAGGUAUGCGAUAACCUGAGCUAAUAGACACUAAUAAGGAUGAGUAGUCAUUAACAACAUAUUGAUGACAUAAUUGAACGUGAGCCACUGUCACUCGGCCUGUAUACUGUUCAUUCCUUCACUUAAUUUCCCCUUCCAGUGCUAAUAAUAUCACGACAAAACCGUGGGUUGAUAAAAAGUUAAGACACACUGUCCACCCCCUUAAAUUGGCAAGCUAAAACGACCUUAGAUUAUUGUGUAGAACAUAUCAGAACCUAUUACAGAGGAAGUUCACCGCUGUCUGCAAUGGUGACUUUGCUUUUAGGUGUUCCACUUUGUCUUCCUUCAGCUUCCAUCUUGUAAACGACAUCCAUUCCAGAUAAAACCUUUCCGAAGACCACAUGUCGACCAUCCAACCAUGUAGUUGUGACUGUUGUGAUGAAGAAUUGUGAACCAUUGGUGUCAGAACCAGCAUUUGCCAUUGACAAUAGCCCAGGUCCAGUGUGCUUGAUCUUGAAAUUUUCAUCCGCAAACUUUUCACCGUAAAUAGAUUCCCCUCCACGCCCAUCACCAAGGGUGAAAUCACCACCUUGAAUCAUGAAGCUGGGGAUUAUUCGGUGGAAUUUGCUCCCCUUGAAAUGAAGAGGCUUGCCACUCUUUCCAACUCCCUUUUCCCCUGUGCACAAUGCUCUGAAGUUCUCUGCUGUUUUAGGAACUGUUUUACCAAAGAGA